AGAGUUUGAUCAUGGCUCAGAACGAACGCUGGCGGCGUGGAUAAGACAUGCAAGUCGAACGGGAUAUUCUUUGUAGCAAUACAGGGGAUGUUCAGUGGCGUAAGGGUGCGUAACACGUGGGCAAUCUGCCGAUUGAAGUGGGGGAUAGCUCGCCGAAAGGCGAAUUAAUACCGCAUGUGGUUAAGGGAGGAUUCUCUCUGACACCAAAGCCGGGGACCAUCGCAAGAUGGCCUGGCGCUUCUUGAUGAGCCCGCGGCCUAUCAGCUUGUUGGUGUGGGUAACGGCCCACCAAGGCGAUGACGGGUAGCUGGUCUGAGAUGGACGACCAGCCACACUGGAACUGAGACACGGUCCAGACACCUACGGGUGGCAGCAGUCGAGAAUUUUUCUCAAUGGGGGCAACCCUGAAGGAGCGACGCCGCGUGGAGGAUGAAGGUCUUCGGAUUGUAAACUCCUGUCAUUAGGGAACAAGGUGCGAGGGUUAACACGCCUUCAUAUUGAUAGUACCUGAAGAGGAAGGGACGGCUAACCNCUGUGCCAGCAGCCGCGGUAAUACGAGGUCCCAGCGUUGUUCGGAUUCUUGGGCGUGGGUGCGUAGUGGCGGGGCAAGUCAGGUGUGAAAUCCCGGGGCUCAACCCUGGAACUGCAUUUGAUACUGCCUUGCUGGAGUACUGGAGAGGAGACUGGAAUUUACGGUGUAGCAGUGAAACUGCGUAGAGAUCGUAAGAAACCAUGGCCGAAGGCGAGUCUCUGGACA
rnacentral:rRNA from 1 species